ensembl:snRNA U2 U2 spliceosomal RNA
AUUGCUUCUCGGUCUUUUGGCUAAGAUCAAGGGUAGUAUCUGUUCCUAUCAGUUUAAAUGUGGUAACAAACUACAGCAGUCUUAUUGGUACCUGUGGCUUAGUCACCAAUAGAAAUCAAGAUAAUUUCAUAUAACAUUAUAGUUACCCCAGAUAUCUCAAAAUAUUUGCCCUGGUAGCUAUUGCAA